AAUGUUUAUAUAUUGUGAUUGUGCUGUUGUAUUUUUGGUGGGGCCAAAGCGUGACAUUGGGAAGACGACAGAGAAUCAGCAUCAGAUACGUGGCAUCCAUGGAAAGCAAAGUGAUUGGGAGUCGCUUUCGGUGGCUCCACCCUGAGGGGCUGAUCUCAGCCGUUGGUUCAAUGUCUAAAGCUUGAAGGUGAAUGGCCCAUUCUCAAUCAAAUGCCAUUUGAUAUGGGUUGGGCGGCGGGG